UCGAAGGCAUCGGGCUGACCCCGCCCUCGUCGUCAGCCGGAGCGACAAACGCCGGCGAAGACGCCGAUUGGUUCCUGCUCGACGCAAGCGCGGUGGGGCUUUGCCGCGCCGAGGUGGUCUUGUGAGGCUGUGGGUUCGAGUCCCGGUUGGGUCAAAACGGGUCCCGCAGAUGAAAUGGAGG